rnacentral:rRNA from 1 species
UACGGAGGGUGCGAGCGUUGUCCGGAAUCACUGGGCGUAAAGGGCGCGUAGGCGGCCUGAUAAGUAGGGGGUGAAAUCCUGCGGCUUAACCGCAGGGCUGCCUUCUAAACUGUCAGGCUUGAGCACAGUAGAGGCAGGUGGAAUUCCCGGUGUAGCGGUGAAAUGCGCAGAUAUCGGGAGGAACACCGGUGGCGAAGGCGGUUCUCUGGGCCUUACCUGACGCUGAGGAGCGAAAGCGUGGGGAGCGAACAGG